rnacentral:lncRNA from 1 species
CACCAUUUCCAAUCAAGAUCCAAGAAAAAGAAAAGUCUUAAUUUAAAUCAGCAAAAAAAAAAAAAAAAAAAACACAGAUCAAUUACUAACCUCCGUGACUAGAUUUACUAAGAAUGGGGGUUAUAAUUUGCCAGGUAGAAUCAUCAUCAUUUAUAAUUUGCCAGGUAGAAUCAUCAUCAUCAGCCUCAUCAACAAGCAAAACCCACUUCACUAGUCCAUCUUUCUUCUUCAUCUCCA